CAAGUUCUCAACCGCAUCAAUUUCUGAUUGGUGUGGCUUGGAUGUUGGGGGUUUUUGCAGGCUUUCUUUCUUUAUAGGAGGAAAUCAGCUCCCCUGAAAUAGAUUAGUAGUAAUAUCUGAGGCUACUACAAAGGUGUGAUAAAUUAUCUAUGCCUUUUCAUAGUAUGGCCGACUGCUUCUAACGAACGAGUGGAAACACCUUUUUGACAA
rnacentral:misc_RNA from 1 species